rnacentral:rRNA from 1 species
GACAGAGGUGCCGAGCGUUAGGCGGAAUCACUGGGCUUAAAGCGUGUGUAGGCGGGUCGUUAAGUGUCUUGUGAAAUCCCACCGCUCAACGGUGGAACGGCUGGGCAUACUGGCGACCUUGAGGGACCCAGGGGCGAGCGGAACAAGCGGUGGAGCGGUGAAAUGCGUAGAUAUCGCUUGGAACGCCGACGGUGAAAACAACUCGCUGGGGGUCACCUGACGCUGAGACACGAAAGCCAGGGGAGCGAACGGG